UUCUCUCCUCGCGUAACAAUUGUUUCUUCAGGCUGAGGUAAUGGAUUCGUUUCCUUGAGCUCACCAGAAAGGACGAGGUUUCGACAAGGACUUCCUGGCAUUUAUUCCUGUGACAUCUGGCAUACCACUGGCAGCAAUCAAGACAUACAACCUUGUCAUUUGGGAGAUUCGUUCACCCAAAGGAAGACUUGAUGGUACUCACCGGUUAGAGCUUCAAAGGGCAUCUCCUCGAUACGUAAUAAAUGCUGGCUCUCCACCGUCAGUCCGUCCUCAGUAUGCAGGUGCGGCUGCUAUGGCUGCGCACAUCGUUAAGUGCUGCACACUCCACCUUCCCGCUGGACCAACCACCGGAGGUUAGCAUCGGGAGUCUCCAAGGUACAGCCUCUUCUCCCCCUUGUCCCUUCGCUGCAGUUCUCUCUCAGGGUAUAGGGAUUAACAGUCGAGGCAACGAGGAAGGAAUGAGAUCCUGGGUGUCUGCCGCUCGCUCCUUGUCCUCACCGCUGCAUCUCAGCUGGGGUUGGAGAAGUCGGUGCAGCAGAGCUGGAUGCUGGCUCGUCACGGUUGCUAUGGUGAUCAGGAGCAGGCGACUUGACGGUGGCUGGGGAAGGCAGUGGAGAAGAGGUAACAGAUGAGUGAUGACGUGCUAGACUCUCCUGGGAUCUGUUGAGCCACAAGAGAGCUAAGAGAAGUGGAGUUCCUGGAUGGUACUAUCCAGAAUGUCUGUUCUUCAGCUUCAAACCAAAACCAAAACCAAACCCUCCCUCUUCUGGGAUUCUUUCCCUCCCUCCCUCCAUCCCUCCCUGAUCCCUAUCUCAACACACACCCUAGCAUUUUAAGGCUUGGAAAUUCCAGUGCUAUUUUGAUGUUCCUUGCCCUAGGGAAUCCUGCAUGGCUCCCUGGGGGAAGUGUGCAGUUGCAAGAGGCCUCUUAAGGGUCCUUUUUCUGAGAAGGGCUCCUGCUGCUGGAGUCUAAAGAAUCAUCUUUCACACUUCCAAAUGACUCCCCCUGGAUUGUCAUGACCCACGGAACUUGAAAGAAAUCUGCCAAGCACUAAAAGAUGGAGGACACGAUAGAUUUAAAUAAAUUCCUAUCAGGAUUUGCUUAUUAUGAUUAUAGCUUUAUAAUCAGAGCAGGAAGGAGCCUUAAAGAUUAUUUUGUCUUCAAGGAUCAUUGGUUUCAGUAUGAUAUCCUUCUCAGCUAUGUGGUCAAAAGCAGAUUGACUCCAGCCAGAACUCUCAGAAGAGGUCUGACCCUUGCCUGAUGACUUAGAGAAGGGGCUCUUGCUUGUCCAAAGGGUAUCCCUUAAUCACAUCAUUGUCUGCCUCAUUAAUUAGUGUUUCCCUUAUUUCCAUAAUCAUUAUGAGGAGUGGAACUGACAGAUUCAGGGGUUGUAGUGUAGAGGUGGUCCCUGCUUGUCAUCGUGAGUCCCUCAUUCAUCACACAACUCUGCAUCUGUGUCCGUUCCACCCAUAGAUCUGCAGGUGUUUUGCUCUAGUUCUAGAAUAAGGGAGGGAAUACAUUUUUACUGAGCUCUGACAAUGUUUCUGGACUUUUCAUGGGUUAUUUCAUUUAAUCCUCCUGUCAACUUGUGAGAUUUUACAUCACUGUUUUAUAAAUUAAGAACAUAAAAGCACAAAAAGUAAGUUUCUUGCUUGUGUAAGGGUAUUCAGCUAGAGAAGUGGCAAAGCUGGAAUGGCUGCCCGGUUCUGUUUGACAUGAUAAUGGAAGGUAGGAGGCCAUCUGGGUUUAGCCCAAGUAGAUUUUAGGAAAAACUUCCUGGGAUGUUCAGAAUCACUGGUAAUUUCUCCCACUUCUCAUGUACUGCUUUAAUCUAUUUCCACUGUUUUUAAAAAGAAAUAAAAUGUUUAUUUUAGAAAACUUGAAAAAUGUAGAAACAUAAAGGAAUAAAAGCCAUCCAUACGCCUACCAUCCAAAGAAAACUAUGAUUAAGGGCACCUGGGUGGCUCAGUCAGUUAUGUGUCCAACUUCCGCUCAGGUCAUGAUCUCGUGGUUCACGAGUUCGAACUCCGUGAUGGACUCUGCUGACAGCUCAGAAUUGAAGCCUGCUUCAGAUUCUAUGUCUCCCUCUCUCUGCUCCUCAACUGCUUGUGCUCUCUCUGGAAAAUAAAUAGAAACAUUUAAAAAAAUUUAAAAAAACUCUGAUUAA